GUAGGUGGCAAGCGUUGUCCGGGAAUUAUUGGGGCGUAAAGCGCGCGCAGGCGGUUCUUUAAGUCUGAUGUGAAAGCCCACGGGCUCAACCGUGGAGGGUCAUUGGAAACUGGAGAACUUGAGUACAGAAGAGGAAAGCGGAACUCCACGUGUAGCGGUGAAAUGCGUAGAGAUGUGGAGGAACACCAGUGGCGAAGGCGGCUUUCUGGUCUGUAACUGACGCUGAGGCGCGAAAGCGUGGGGAGCAAACAGGAUUAGAUACCCUGGUAAUCCACGCCGUAAACGAUGAGUGCUAAGUGUUAGGGGGUUUCCGCCCCUUAGUGCUGCAGCUAACGCAUUAAGCACUCCGCCUGGGGAGUACGGCCGCAAAGGCUG
rnacentral:rRNA from 1 species